GGGGCCCGCACAAGCGGUGGAGCAUGUGGUUUAAUUCGACGCAACGCGAAGAACUUACCAGGGCUUGACAUCCCCUGACCGCGUAUGAAAGUACGAAUUCACCUUCGGGUGACAGGGAGACAGGUGGUGCAUGGUUGUCGUCAGCUCGUGUCGUGAGAUGUUGGGUUAAGUCCCGCAACGAGCGCAACCCCUACGUUUAGUUGCUAACGCGUGAAGGCGAGCACUCUAGACGAACUGCCGUUGACAAAACGGAGGAAGUGGGGAUGACGUCAAAUCAUCAUGCCCCUUAUGUUCUGGGCUACACACGUGCUACAAUGGCCGGUACAGACGGACGCAAAGCCGCGAGGUGGAGCAAAUCCUAAAAAGCCGGUCUCAGUUCGGAUUGCAGGCUGCAAUUCGCCUGCAUGAAGUCGGAAUCGCUAGUAAUCGCAGGUCAGCAUACUGCGGUGAAUACGUUCCCGGGCCUU
rnacentral:rRNA from 1 species